CAAUAGCGUAUAUUAAAGUUGUUGCAGUUAAAAAGCUCGUAGUUGGAUUUGUGGUGUACUUCGGCGGCCCGUCACUAUGUGAUGGAGCUUGCUGAAGUCGCCAUCCUUGGGUGGAUCCUGUGUGGCAUUAAGUUGUCGUGCAGGGGAUGCCCAUCGUUUACUGUGAAAAAAUUAGAGUGUUCAAAGCAGGCUUAUGCCGUUGAAUAUAUUAGCAUGGAAUAAUAAGAUAGGACCUUGGUACUAUUUUGUUGGUUUGCGCACCAAGGUAAUGAUUAAUAGGGACAGUUGGGGGUAUUCGUAUUUCAUUGUCAGAGGUGAAAUUCUUGGAUUUACGCAAGACAAACAGCUGCGAAAGCGUCUGCCAAGGAUGUUUUCAUUAA
rnacentral:rRNA from 1 species